GAUAAGUGCAGUUUUAUAUUAUUCAUUUCCAACAUUUAACCGUUCGUUUUAUUAAAAAUUAUUUUAUUAACAAUUAUUUUAUGAUUAGUAUUUUUAUUAUUAUUAGAUGGUAAAACAUGAAUAGUUUUUUAUCUACAAUUAUUUUUUAAAAAGAAAUUUUAUAUUUUUUUAAAUAAGACAGAUGACCAAACGUCGAAUAUGAAUACCCACGGCUACACUUACU
rnacentral:pre_miRNA from 1 species